CAGUUCGGAUUGAAGGCUGAAAUUCGCCUUCAUGAAGCCGGAAUUGCUAGUAAUGGCAGGUCAGCAUACUGCCGUGAAUACGUUCCCGGGCCUUGUACACACCGCCCGUCACACCAUGAGAGUUGGGAAUACCCGAAGCCUGUGAGCUAACGAAAGAGGCAGCAGUCGAAGGUAGAAUCAAUGAUUGGGGUGAAGUCGUAACAAGGUACC
rnacentral:rRNA from 1 species